rnacentral:lncRNA from 1 species
CUCAAAAUAUUCAAUAGCCUUUUAAAAAGCAAUAUCAUACUGUAAAGAAUAAAUGCUGCUUUUUCUUUAAAAUGAGGAAAUUGUGCAUUUUGUACAUCUCAGAACUUUAUAGAGAUAAAACUAAAGAAAACACAAUGUAAAAAACAAAGAUAAAAUUCCUAAGUUAUUUUCUUGCAUGUCAAAGUUUUUAGUGUUGGUGCAUGGUAAAGUAGUCAUUUGCCACUUUGAAGGAUCAGGUUCAAUUCUGGGUCUCACAUAUAAUUUUUUUAGAAAAGUCCAGACCCAAUCAGGCUCACUAAACCCAAUUCUUCAAUCUUCCAGUUGGUCCUACCAGAGAUGUUGGAUAAUCUUGGAGACUCUAAAAGUGGCCAUUGCCAAAAGUAUCCUUUGGUAGUUUAAUUCAAACUAACCUAAUCAAGU